AUGUUUUCCUCGCAGUCCGCUAGCCGCAUCAACAACAUCCGAACCUCCCUCAUCAACGCACAGAAGGGCAACCUCUCCGUUGCCUCCUACUUCGCCGCCAUGCGCGGCUACGCCGACGAGCUCGCAGCCGCGGGCAAGGCGAUCCCCGACGAUGAACUGGCCUCCUACAUCAUCCACGGGCUCGACGCCGACUAUCAGCCCCUAGUCUCUGCCCUAGACGCCCGCGUGACCCAGGUAACCCUUGAUGAGCUCUUUGCCAUGCUGUCAAAUUUCGAUCAAUGCAUGGCACAGUUCCAAGGAUCCGGCGGCGGCGGCUUCAAGUCGUCCGCGAACAUGGCCACUCGUGGACGGGGUGGCGGCUCCCGAUCGCGUGGCUCCUCUCGCACCAAGGGCAGGUUCGGCGGCGGCAACCGUGGCUCCACGCCACCUCAAUCUGGAGGCCGUGGUCGUCGUGGCCGCGACACUGGUGGUGGUGGCCGAAACUGCCCCGACGCUCCCCGUUGUCAGAUCUGCAGCAAGCCUGGCCACACAGCGAAGGACUGCUGGUACAGGUAUGAGGAGGACGACUAUGACUCGCAAGAUGAGGAGAAAGUUGCUGCGGCGGCUGAUGGCUCCUAUGGUGUCGACACAAAUUGGUACGUCGACAGUGGAGCCACUAACCACAUCACCAACGAGCUCGAGAAAGUCACCAUGAAGGAAAAAUACCGUGGCAAGGAUCAAAUCCACACUGCCAGCUGA
rnacentral:rRNA from 1 species